UGCAGGGUUGCGUUGGCGGUGCAGUCUGAGCAGGGAGUCUGACAGGGAGCAGGUCUGCCUCGCUGGGGCUGCCACGGGGGAGCUUUGCUGGCUCUGGAAUCUGGUCUGUCCCCAACCAGGCACAAGAGCUAAGCCUCCGCCUUUCCUGCUGAAGAUUGUGGCUUCUGACCCCUCCUGACCAGAAAGCCUGUUGAGGAGAACUUGGGAGGUGCCUGAAAUGGGCCUUCGCAGUCUUUCCCAGCCCCAUCAGACAGGAAGGCCUGGCAAGAACACCCGGAAGCUGCACACCCCAGCAGAUCUUGAGCAGAGAAGCGGGUGAGCAGAGCUGACUGUCCUGAGAGCAAAACCAACCGCUCUGACUGGCCAGGAACUGGGUGGGGCACAGGUCAGUGUGAGACCACAGACAUAGCAUUAGUGAUUUUCAAGCUGCUUCUCCUCCUGUGCUUGGGCAGGAAAUCUGAUCUGCAGCUGCACUUACUGCUGCAAACAGCCAUCAGCCUCUGCCCCAACCAGGGAGCUUUCCCAGAAGAAGUGGGAAGCCGCACAACCCAUCCGAUGGCCCCGCUGACCGCGGCAGCUGAACAGAGCACAGCCCGUGGCCUAACCUGUCUGCAGAGUGAAACUUGUUGCCAACACCUUCCAUGGACAUUCCUGCCUGACUCAGGUCCCCAAACGAUGAGCUGUGCAGGCCUUGCAUCCCAUCCUGCUCCCAAUCUUAAUGCUGAGUACAGCGUCCAGUCCCAGGGACUGGACCCACCAGUCCACACAAUCCACCACAGUCUCACCUGAGUGGGUAGGGAACCAAGCCAGCUGUCCUACCCAGCUGUCUCAGCCAGUGACCCUCCACUCCGCUUCAGGGCUCAAACAGAUGCCUCACCCAAAAAGAGACCACCUAAAUACAUAAAGCAAAAUCCAGCAGAGCUAAAAGGAGAAAUAACGGGGACUUUACCACUCCACUCUAUAGACAAUGGAUAGAUCAUCCAAAGAGAAUCAUAAGGAAACAGGAAGUCUGAACCAAAUGUAUACUAAUAUCUCACUCUGGACGAUACAUUUUUAAACUGGAUUAAAGAUAAUACAAUUAAAAGUGGGCGAAAGACUUAGACAUUUUUUCAAAGAAGAUAUAUGAAAGAGUCAAC
ensembl:lncRNA